rnacentral:rRNA from 1 species
GUAGGGAAUAUUGGGCAAUGGGUGCAAGCCUGACCCAGCCAUCCCGCGUGCCGGAUGAAGGCCCUCUGGGUCGUAAACGGCUUUUGACGGUGAAGAACCGAAAGGGUGCGCCCUUUUUUGACGGUAGCCGUUGAAUAAGCACCGGCUAACUCCGUGCCAGCAGCCGCGGUAAUACGGAGGGUGCGAGCGUUGUCCGGAUUUAUUGGGUUUAAAGGGUGCGUAGGCUGGAGGGACAGUCAGCGGUGAAAAGCAGUUGCUCAACAAUUGUCUUGCCGCAGAUACUACCUUUCUUGGAUUGGGAGGAGGUUACCGGAACGGAUGGUGUAGCGGUGAAAUGCAUAGAUAUCAUCCAGAACGCCAAUUGCGAAGGCAGGUAACUGUACCUAUAUCGACGCUGAUGCACGAAAGCAUGGGUAGCGAACAGGAUUAGAAACCCCAGUAGUCC